rnacentral:rRNA from 1 species
GACAGAGGGUGCAAACGUUGUUCGGAAUUACUGGGCGUAAAGCGCGUGUAGGCGGCCAUGCAAGUCGGAUGUGAAAUCCCUCGGCUCAACCGAGGAACUGCAUCCGAUACUGGCGGGCUUGAAUCCGGGAGAGGGAUGUGGAAUUCCAGGUGUAGCGGUGAAAUGCGUAGAUAUCUGGAGGAACACCGGUGGCGAAGGCGGCAUCCUGGACCGGUAUUGACGCUGAGGCGCGAAAGCUAGGGGAGCAAACGGG